UACGUAGGGUGCGAGCGUUGUCCGGAAUUAUUGGGCGUAAAGAGCUCGUAGGCGGUUUGUCACGUCUGCUGUGAAAACUGGAGGCUCAACCUCCAGCCUGCAGUGGGUACGGGCAGACUAGAGUGCGGUAGGGGAGAUUGGAAUUCCUGGUGUAGCGGUGGAAUGCGCAGAUAUCAGGAGGAACACCGGAUGGCGAAGGCAGAUCUCUGGGCCGUAACUGACGCUGAGGAGCGAAAGCAUGGGGAGCGAACAGG
rnacentral:rRNA from 1 species